rnacentral:rRNA from 1 species
GUCGGGAAUUUUGCCCAAUGGACGAAAGUCUGAGGCAGCAACUCCGCGUGAGGGAUGAAGGCUCUCGGGUCGUAAACCUCUUUUCUCAGGGAAGAUCCAAGACGGUACCUGAGGAAUAAGCGACGGCUAACUACGUGCCAGCAGCCGCGGUAAUACGUAGGUCGCAAGCGUUGUCCGGAUUUACUGGGCGUAAAGAGCGCGCAGGCGGCUGGUCAAGUCCGAUGUGAAAUCUCCCGGCUCAACUGGGAAACUGCAUCGGAAACUGAUCGGCCUGAAGGUGGGAGAGAGUAGUGGAAUUCCCGGUGUAGUGGUGAAAUGCGUAGAUAUCGGGAGGAACACCAGUGGCGAAGGCGACUACUUGGCCCAUUCUUGACGCUGAGGCGCGAAAGCUAGGGGAGCGAA